rnacentral:rRNA from 1 species
UGUAAAUAACUUGUUUAAAGUUUGGGGAAUAUAGAAGGGAGUUAAGAAAAAUAAUUUUAUAAUUUUAGUAAUUUUUAAUGAAAAUUAAGUAAAGACUAGAGAGAAAAGUACUGUGAAGGAAAGUUGUUGAGAUUUUAUAUAGAAAAAGUAAAAUUUUGUGCCUCGUGUAUCAGAAAAAAUUUAUAUAAUUUAGUUAAUGGUAAGUAUCUCGAAAUAAAAUAUAGUAAUUUUUAUAAAAUUUUCUUUUUAGAAAAAAAGAAUUUAAUAUAAAAUUUAAAGUGAAAUGCUAGUUGAGUUUUAUGAUAUCUAGUUUUUUAAAAAAUAAAUUUAAUUUAAUUUUUACGAAGAAAGAAUUGUAAAAUUAAAUGGUAGGGGGGAUUAGCUCUUUACGGAAAAGUCAAUGAAAUAGGUAGAUAUAAAGAAAUUAUAUAAAUUAGGCUUAGAAGUAGCUAUAUUGAAAAAGUGUUUUAACUAAAUUAUAAUUACUUGAAUAUUUAAGAUAACUUUUGUUAGGUAUUAAAAAAACGGUUUAAACAAAAUAAAACGAAAUAUAAUGAUUUUAUUAGUAAAAUUUAUUAAGUAAAUAAAAAU